AGUAUUUUGGCCACGUCACGGACGAUUGUCUUCUCCAGUUCCCCUCUCAAUUCGUUCGGUUCUGCUUCUCCCUAGUUAAUAGCUUCCAUUUACAACCAUCUCUCUCUCUCUCUCUCUCUCUCUCUCUCUCUCUCUCUCUCUCUCUCUCUCUCUGUGGAAUUUCCAAACUGUUACAUGUCUCCAUAACUCUCUUUCUCCUACUCCGAACUCCGAAGUCACCUUAAAUUCGAAAUGAAUACUGCGAAGUCAACUUCCGAGGCACUGGCUGCUUUAUUAUUCAUACGACGCCUAUUCAGAGGAAUCCGACAAGUCUGUCUCUACGCCUUUCUCCACGACCUGGUUAUGGAUGACUCAUUUACUACUGAGAAAAAGGCUACAAAUCAAAAAAAAAAAAAAAAGGCUACAAAUCACCAUAUACGCUCAUUCAAAGAAGUCCCAACGCUUUCUCCUACCGCAAGGCGCAAAGCAGAGAUACUCUUUACGGGGUUAUGUCCCGUUGUCCUGUUCUCAUCCAGAGUUUCGGCCGUUGCAGGAUCUCAUCAGAGGCACCAAGAGGAGCCACAACUCUCACUUUCAGGCCAUUGCCAAAAAGAAGCUUAAAAUGAUGUAAGUAAUCUCUUAAUAAAGAAAAAAGUUAUCUAAUUUUAAAAUUGGAGAUUGAUUGAUUCAUUGUGUGAUGAUUUUUUUCGCCAUGAAUAACUACUCUACUCUGUCAUGGAUAACGAAACAUUGAGGUUUGGAGCGAAACAUGUGCGUUGAAACUCAUAUGGAUGCUCUACUUCAGAGCUGGAUCGAUCUGGGUUGCUUGGAUAAGGCAAAGGGGUGAGGACACUUACUUCUGCUGGGACCCGUGGACUCCCUUUGGUUCUCUAUACAUGUUCUUGGGAUCUGAUGGUCCUUCUCAGCUGGGAGUUCCUCUGUUUGCGCUAGUCUCUCUCUGCUGCUAGGUCUAAUAAUCAUCUGGAGCUCCUCUCAUUCAUAACUACUUUAUCCCUAGCUGAUAGGCAUGAUCAGCCUUUGUGGAUUGUUAACGGUAAAAUUCAUAAAACCUUCACCUCGAAGGUAAUAUGGGAUGCAAUUAGGCCUUAACUUCCAGCUAAAUCUUGGGCCCCUUUGCUUUGGCACAAUGGAGUUAUCCCUCGUCAUGCUACAACUUCUUGGCUAUUUGUCCUAGAUAGGAACCCAACAGUGGAUUGCCUCGCAUCUUGGGGUCUCGAUGUUGAUACUGCAUGUCUCCUUUGUGGUAUCGCUAAUGAAUCAAGGAAUCACUUGUUUUUGUGUCAAUACUCUAAUGAAGUUUGGUUCUGGCUCUGUGCUAAACUUAAUCACCGGUCCCCGUCAUCUUCUUGGAACGAUGUAUUAUGUUGGUUAGCAUCUGUUUUUUCUCCUGAUCGCGUAGAAUUGCUCUUCUGCAAGCAUGGCAAGCUGCGAUUUAUGUAAUUUGACAGGAACGCAACACUCGGUUCUACUCCGGUCUCACUGUUCCUGCAUCAGUCUUGGGCUUCAAAAUCCUGCGUACUGUCACUAACAAGUGUACUGCAAUGUUCUCUCUUGGUCAGAACCUUGGGCUUCUCUUUUGCGCAUUUAGAAACCGCCUUAAUGUUUCUAGCUCGUUUUCAGCUCUUUGUAAUAUCUUCAAACUUUAAAAGCUACUUAGUGGCUUCACUUUAUUAAUGAAAACCCUUUAAAAAAAAGAAAAGAAAAUGAGAAUAAACAUAUUUACUCAA